GGAAGGAUGGCCUAGUGGAUAAGGGACUGGACUGGAACUCAGGAGAUCUGGAUUCAAGUCUCAGCUCUGCCA
rnacentral:tRNA from 1 species